GUCCCUUUGGCUCAAUUGGAUAGAGCGCCAGAUUACAGUUGUUAUGACUCAUCUGGCGGUGUGGGUUCGAAUCCCACAAGGGACA